rnacentral:rRNA from 1 species
UACAGAGGGUGCGAGCGUUGUUCGGAAUUACUGGGCGUAAAGCGUGCGCAGGCGGUUAUGUAAGACAGAUGUGAAAUGCCCGGGCUUAACCUGGGAACUGCAUUUGUGACUGCAUGGCUAGAGUUUGGCAGAGGGGGGUAGAAUUCCACGUGUAGCAGUGAAAUGCGUAGAUAUGUGGAGGAACACCGAUGGCGAAGGCAGCCCCCUGGGUCAAGACUGACGCUCAUGCACGAAAGCGUGGGGAGCAAACAGG